GUAGAACAGGAGGAAUUUGAUGUAAUGAAUGAUAUAGCACUUGCUGCUAUAACAGUUGCUGGAUUUAGGAAUUUGAGUAUUGCCAGCAGAAUACACACUGCUCUUUUUCCAUAAAAUUCCAUGGCCAUACUGGAAUAAUUUAAAUCACAAUUUUUCAAAAUUGCAUUUAAUUCUGUUUUCCCCAUUUUCUAUACCAAACUUUAAAUCCUCAUGCUUGAUUUGUGUAAUUUUAAAAUCUCAUAGUUGUAAUUUAACAUUUAGUAGACUGUAAGUCUUAAAGGAUUUGCAGCUACCCACAGUUAGUCAGAAGUUGAGAUAAGGGAUACCAGCUAUUCAUCUAGACCAAAGUGACUGUGAUAAUUUGUCCUAUUUUCCUUUAUAUAGUAUUAUUGGAAUUUAGUUUUAGGGAACUAUAGGCAGUCUGAACUUACUAAUUACUAUGAAAAAUCAGCUCCAAGAUACCUUGUCUUAGGCAUCCAAAGUUAGUGAGCCAUUUUGGUCAAACUUGGUUUCCAUCUAAAAGCUGAAAUGAAAGGAAAUGGAAAUCUGCAUAUAGUGUCUGAAUAGGGUAUUUGAUGUGAAUUGAAGGAUCUCGGGGAACAUCACAAAACUGAUUUCUUGUGCAACCUAAACAUCAACUUAACUUACUUUCAGCAAGCAAAGAUGAUACCACUGACACAGCUCAUGACAGUCAAGAGAAAUUAGUGGUUGUUUGUGAAUUGCCUAGGUGCUGUCAUGAAGAACACCAUAGAAAAGUCUGUAAGAUAUCAACAAUGUCUAUCAAGAGCAGCAUUUGAGCAGAGAGUGAUAAACAAAAUGCAAGAUCACACUUUGAAAUGGGGAGAAAAUGAGAGUGAAUUAUUUGGCACCAUCCAUUCAUUCCAAUAAAUGAGCAGGUCCAUCAGCGGGACAAACUUCUAACAGGAGCUGUAAGUGGCAAGUAAUUUUAUCAAGAAAUGCAAAGUGCAAUUUAAAAUGUAUAAAAGGCAGAUAAAUAAUAAGACUUCCAAGCAUAAACAGGAAAGCGUAAACAUAUUGCAUGUUUGGAGACCAGACUAUGGGAGCUAGAACUAGGAAGAAAGACAUCGCCACCAUCAUAAAUGGAACCGGUAAAAACACCUGUAAGAGAAAGAAAAAAAGUGGGUUAGGAAAUAAAUGAACCAACUGUGAUUUUUUGCCUCAUUCAUUAUAGUAACAAUGUGCUCUUUGCCACAGUAGCGUACCAUUUCUCAUGCUGCUGUAAACUCACCCAAGACUCAAAUUGCCUACAAGAGGGGCAUCUUUUAGAAAAUAUUUGUUUAGGCUCCUUCUGUGGUCAAGGGGAAGAGAUAGGCAGUACUAGAAAUCCAUUUGUUCACAUAUGAUAUUGAGGGUUCCUACAAGACACUCGGGGCUGGGUGCCUGGAAGCCUUCACAAUGAGCAUACACCUCUAACCCAGCUUUCUGACUGCUGGAGUAAGAGGACAUUCAACCUAUCCUUAAUGCCUGUGAUUGUGUCAGGGAAGAUGGGAGCAGAACGAAGUUUAAUGAACUGAAUGGCAAUGGAUCCUAUACUGGUCUUGUUACUGCUCCACACUGGUAUGGUUCCACGUUGUUUGCACAUCUCCCCCAUUCUGCAAAGAACUAUCUCAUGUUUUCAAGUUCUCUGGGGCAGAGACCAUCUGUUUGUUUAUCUUCUUUUUAUAGUAAAGCAAAAUUUUCAAAUAAGGCUCUAAGCAUUGAGAUUAUUAUUUGUAUUUUUGUGACUAUCCACUUUGGAUUUGCACUUCUAUAACUUUUGCAUGUCACCCAGGAAUCAAAAAAAAUUUAUAAAAAUAUUUUUAACUUAGAUCCAUUUACUUUGUAUGGUCGGUGUAGAUGAGGUUCCCGGUAUCGAAGUACAAUCAGGCUUGCACAAGUCAAUCCAAUCAUAAGCCAGGCAGAAAAUCCAAAGUAAUUUGUUAACAUAAUAAGGUCAGAGGGGAUGAUAAAAAUGGAUGCAA